ACCACAGCUAACACUCCUAAGUCACCCUAUAAAGCACAGCACAGUAAUGAGGUAGGGUCCCCCCUCCCGACUACAAUAAAACCACUGCAGGCAUUUGAGUGCUCAAACCCAGCUAUACAUACAGCUAUACAUACUUAAGAACAGCAGAGGGCAACCAUGACAAGCAGGAUCCACCAAUGUCUGGGACAACAACUGGUCUUGUUGCCAACCUGGUGAUGGAUGCUGAGAAAUAUCCUACAGAGAUAAAGCAACUGGCUAGAUAGAUUAGGGAGAACAGGUUAAUUAGAAGUUGUUUGGAUUUUAAAGGUGUGUAAGACUUUUGAAUUAGUAAUAAUCAAAUGCGGUGUUAAGUAAAAGGGAUAUAGUGACCCAUCUGUUCAUUAGGAUUCCCUGCUGUCAAAGGCAUCCUUCAUUUCCUUUGCUGAGCUUGGCAGUUGACAGGUGCUCACCAGCUAAACUUUUCCUCCCUGGACUGAUGCUGAAAUAGCUGCUAGGAGAAGACGGACAAGGGAGGAAAAAUGUGUGCUGUGUGGGCCAGAGAGUUGUUUUAGAGAUUAUGGCUGGCCUAGUGCACUGCUUGAAGAUGGGUCUCUGUCUGUGCUGCUGCUCUCACCCCUCUGCUUCAUGGUUUGCAGUCAGAGCAAUGAGUUCUCUCUACCUCUAUAGAGCAGGGCCAGGAGGAGGAAGUCUGCAUGAAUACGUGCUUACCAAGCUCCCUGCCUACAAGCCUGUGGGAAGAGUCCAGGGAGAGUGGUCCCAAGCUCCAAGAGGGGAUAGAGCCGCUAUGACCAUGCAAGUGGGAGGUUAGUCCUUGGGAAUAGCUCUCACAUGAUUUCAUUGUGGUAGUUUCUUUUCAGGACUCAGAGAGACUUGUAGUUUUGUGCAUACUUCCAUGCAGCACAGGAGUAUCACUCACUGUCUUCCAGGCUGUGCACUCAUAGGAUGCAGGUGUCUGUGCUCACAGCAGCUGGCGGUUUGCCUCUAGGGAAGCUGACUUGCCAUAAAAAGUAAGCACCAGAGAGCGUGAGAGAGGGAGCAGUCUCUCUGGGGUGUAGGCAUCACUCAGUACCUGUGAGUAUAAGUGGGGGUUGAUCCAGCAGUCACUUUGCAGAUGGGCUUGCUUCUGCUGUUUGGCUGGGUCGUGGCAUGGCCUAGCUCCUGCUCC
rnacentral:lncRNA from 1 species